rnacentral:rRNA from 1 species
UUUUGUGACUGAGCGGCGGACGGGUGAGUAACGCGUGGGUAACCUGCCUCAUACAGGGGGAUAACAGUUAGAAAUGACUGCUAAUACCGCAUAAGACCACGGUACCGCAUGGUACAGUGGUAAAAACUCCGGUGGUAUGAGAUGGACCCGCGUCUGGUUAGGUAGUUGGUGGGGUAACGGCCUACCAAGCCGACGAUCAGUAGCCGACCUGAGAGGGUGACCGGCCACAUUGGGACUGAGACACGGCCCAAACUCCUACGGGAGGCAGCAGUGGGGAAUAUUGCACAAUGGGCGAAAGCCUGAUGCAGCGACGCCGCGUGAGCGAAGAAGUAUUUCGGUAUGUAAAGCUCUAUCAGCAGGGAAGAUAAUGACGGUACCUGACUAAGAAGCACCGGCUAAAUACGUGCCAGCAGCCGCGGUAAUACGUAUGGUGCAAGCGUUAUCCGGAUUUACUGGGUGUAAAGGGAGCGCAGGCGGUGCGGCAAGUCUGAUGUGAAAGCCCGGGGCUCAACCCCGGUACUGCAUUGGAAACUGUCGUACUAGAGUGUCGGA